GUGGUAAUGCCGGAUGCUCCAUCACACCGCAUGGUGUGUUGGGAAAGCCUUUGCGGCAUGGGAUGGGGUCGCGUCCUAUCAGCUUGAUGGCGGGGUAACGGCCCACCAUGGCUUCGACGGGUAGCCGGCCUGAGAGGGCGACCGGCCACAUUGGGACUGAGAUACGGCCCAGACUCCUACGGGAGGCAGCAGUGGGGAAUAUUGCACAAUGGGCGCAAGCCUGAUGCAGCGACGCCGCGUGAGGGAUGGAGGCCUUCGGGUUGUAAACCUCUUUUAUCAGGGAGCAAGGCUUCGGUUGAGUGUACCUGUUGAAUAAGCACCGGCUAACUACGUGCCAGCAGCCGCGGUAAUACGUAGGGUGCAAGCGUUAUCCGGAAUUAUUGGGCGUAAAGGGCUCGUAGGCGGUUCGUCGCGUCCGGUGUGAAAGUCCAUCGCUUAACGGUGGAUCCGCGCCGGGUACGGGCGGGCUUGAGUGCGGUAGGGGAGACUGGAAUUCCCGGUGUAACGGUGGAAUGUGUAGAUAUCGG
rnacentral:rRNA from 1 species